AGGGGCGUCGGUUAACGGUAAACCGUCGGACUCCAAAUCCGAGACUGGGGGUUCAAUUCCCUCCGCCCCUGCCA
rnacentral:tRNA from 1 species